rnacentral:misc_RNA from 1 species
AAGUCGUAACAAGGUUUCCGUAGGUGAACCUGCGGAAGGAUCAUUCAUAAUAAGUGUUUAUGGCACUUUUUAAAAUCCAUAUCCACCUUGUGUGCAAUGUUUUAAGAUCUCAUCCUUCAUAGCUUGUCUAUGGAGUUUGAGGUUUUUAUAUAUCAACUCAUAUUUUGAAAUAGUUUGUCUGAAAAUUGUGAAUUUACUUAAUUCAAAAUACAACUUUCAACAACGGAUCUCUUGGCUCUC